ACUUCCGUCCAGCCACAGAAUCACGCAAUGGGGGCGGCCCGGCGAGAACCGCGGGGGGUUAAGAUUACCAUGA
rnacentral:ncRNA from 1 species